CACAGGGUGUGGCAUCAUCAGAGGAUGCAUGCUGAAUUCAAUGCGUGCCGAAGCUUUCAGCAGAGUGGCCCCAGCAGGGGUGCGCUGGGAGGGCGCCGCUUUGCUGGGCAGGAGGCCCCGUGGGCAGGACGCGGGGUUCCUCGGCGUGCGUUCCCCACGGCGGCCGCGAGGUGGCACCGGCGCCCCUCGGGAAGCAAACAAUGCGGCGGUCUCCUUUCCACCCGCCCGGCCGCGGCCGCCCGCUGACCCGUGCACGCGACCGGGAAGCGGCCACGCGCCUCCUGGCCACGGCCGGUCGGCUCCCCGCGGGCACCGGGCGCCACCGCGCAGGUCAGCCUUGCCCACAGAGGCUCCCGGGGGAGCUGGGUUUCAGUGGCCGGGGUCCCCCUUGAUUUCCUGGUGAACAGAAAGGGGACGGGGACUAUUCCGUGACCAGGGCCGAGAGAACACGCGCCGCGGAACAAAAAGGGUUGGAGCGUGAGAAAUGCGCGCCGUGGACACGGCGGCGAGGGUUGGGCCGGUUCCUGGCCUGCUCCGCAGUUUCCUGCUGCUGGCGAGAGAACCGGCGGAACCGGCGGCCGGUAGAGCGCUCCAUGCCCCACCCCCCACCCCCAUUCUUAGAAGGUGACCUUGUGACAAAGGUGUGCUGAGCCUUUGCCAUCUCUGGCCUCGCUGACGCCUCUCCAGGGCCCUCGGAUUCUUUCUCGGCGCCUGUGCUUAUCCCCAUUUGACAGACAAAGAAACUGAGGCCCAACGCAUUGGGACUUGGAGGAGCCCACAGUGGUCAAGAGGGACGCAGAAAUGCAAAGGCGUCGGCUGCUACUCACAGAUGCAGAGACGUCGUUGCCGGAGCUGCAGCUGGCUUCUGCGUGUUCCAGUGUCUGACAACAGCGCCGACAUUGGGAGUCCUUUUGGAGAGCAGUCAUUGUGGAUUAUUAAACUCCGGGUGGUUUUAUUUACAUCUUUCUUUGUCGUGCAACAUUAUUUCCGCAGCUCCUCCUUAAGCUGUGAUGUAUGGAGCAGGUGAGGAGUUUCCGAGAGGAGAUAUGCCUUAGCCUUUCUUCUUUUUUAAGGGCUACAAGAAUUAGUGUCUAAAUAAAAUCAACCAACAGGAAA